GACGAACGCUGGCGGCGUGCUUAACACAUGCAAGUCGAACGAAGAGCGAUGGAAGCUUGCUUCUAUCAAUCUUAGUGGCGAACGGGUGAGUAACGCGUAAUCAACCUGCCCUUCAGAGGGGGACAACAGUUGGAAGCGACUGCUAAUACCGCAUACGAUCUAAUCUCGGCAUCGAGGAUAGAUGAAAGGUGGCCUCUACAUGUAAGCUAUCACUGAAGGAGGGGAUUGCGUCUGAUUAGCUAGUUGGAGGGGUAACGGCCCACCAAGGCGAUGAUCAGUAGCCGGUCUGGGAGGAUGGACGGCCACAUUGGGACUGGGACACGGCCCAGACUCCUACGGGAGGCAGCAGUGGGGAAUCUUCCGCAAUGGACGAAAGUCUGACGGCGCAACGCCGCGUGAGUGAUGACGGCCUUCGGGUUGUAAAGCUCUGUUAAUCGGGACGAAAGGCCUUCUAGCGAAUAGUGAGAAGGAUUGACGGUACCGGAAUAGAAAGCCACGGCUAACUACGUG
rnacentral:rRNA from 1 species